AGUACAUGUAAUAAUUAUUGUUACAUGUACUUGCACUGGACAACUUUCUUUGUGACACUGUGACAGGAAAAUACAGCGUGUUUUAUAUGUUCGUUCAUGGGUAUUCUUUCAUUUUUCCGACUGUAUAUAUUAUGUAAGUGUUAAAUUAGGCGAGCGGCAACAACCCCUAAAAUAACGUUAUACCACUUGAUACGCAUCGUAAUGUUCACCAAGAAUAGCUGAAAGUCUGAAAAUAACCACGCCCAUGAUGCGCAUUCGUCAUCCGACGGAUCUUGCACUGAGCGUUCACUUAAUAUCUACCGUUUGUAACGUGAACAAGUCGGUACAGUCUGCGAAACAUUCUUUGUAAGUACGAACCGCAAAGGAUCAAUUUAAAAUUUGCAAAUUUUGUUUAAAUCGAAUCUGAAGGGAAAAGUUUUAAAUAAUCAGACACGGGAAGUGAUAGCAAACGUGAUUCAUUUUAUGAUAAAUGAAGCGAAAAACAAUGAACCGUGUAGAGAUUUGAAAAAAGUGCAGGAACGUGUGGUAUUGGCGAAAGGUGUUAGUUUAAGCAGCGUUCAAAAAAUUGCUCGGGAAAUGCAAUUAAUUGAAGAUGGCGAAUAUUCCUCAUUUGUAACUCCAAACAAAAAGAGAAAAAAAAGCGCUUCAAAAACGUGCUUGGACGAUUUUGAUAUAGGGCGUCUUCGACGUUAUAUAAUGGAUUUUUGUAUAACACAAAAACAAGUCCCAACUGUGAAACGCAUACACAGAACAUUUGCAGAGGAGUACAACUACUCAGGUUCCAUAGAAAGCCUACGAACAGUAAUUAGAAAGAUGGGAUUUCGUUGGCGAAAAACCAGAACUAAUAGAAAAUUAUUAAUGGAAAAGCCCAAUAUUCAACAUAUUAGACUGAAUUUCUUACGUAGUAUGAAACGUUACAGGAACGCAAAUCGCCCAAUUAUAUACAUGGAUGAAACAUACGUCCAUUCAUCUCAUACCCACCAAAAGAGCUGGUCUGAUAGUUCAAACAAGGGCAUACAAAAACCAGUAUCUAAAGGACAGAUGCUUGUGAUAGUGCAUGCUGGAGGUGAAAGUGGUUUUGUUAAAAAUGCUUAUCUGCGCUACAAGCCUACGAUAAAAACAGGAGAUUAUCAUGAUGCAAUGAACUACGACAAUUACAAAAAGUGGCUUCAGGAUAAACUGAUACCAAAUUUGCCCCCGAACAGCGUUUUAGUGAUUGAUAAUGCACCGUAUCACAACGUACAAACUGAGAAAUGUCCAACUAUGUCUUCCAGGAAAGCAGAAAUGCAGCAGUGGCUGACAACGCGAAAUAUUUCCUUUACAGAUGACAUGUUGAAAUUUGAAUUAUACGACAUUAUAAAAUUACACAAACCUCUGUUUAAAACCUAUGAAAUUGACAAAAUACUCGAGGAUAAAGGACAUUCAGUUUUACGGUUACCCAAGAUAUUAUCCGGAUUUGAAUCCUAUAGAGUUAGUAUGGGCUUCUAUGAAGCAAUAUGUCGCUGAAAAAAAUGUCAGUUUUGAUUUUAAAUAAGUGAAAAGUUUGUGUGGACUGAAUAAAACGAUGACGACAAAUGCUAUGGAAAUGGAUACCAGAAAGGUUAUAAAUAUCUCUUUUAACAAAAGGUACUGGUACAAAGACACCAUAUUUAUGCUUCACCGGGACCGAACAUCUAAUUUCUAUUUAUUACCCUACUGCUUACGCCCUUUUUCUCCGAAACCUUUUGGUCAAUAUAAUGGUAAUAUAAAGUAUAAAUAGUCAAUAUAAAAAUAUAAUUUUUGGUUUAUAAUGCCAUAAUUUAUAGCAACACAAGCGGUUUUUGUUGGAUCUAUUUUAUUACAUCUCACUUUGUAAAAAAAAUACUACAAAUAUACUGAAGAAAAGUAAUGACAGUAAUAAUAAUUGUGUACGGGACCUAUUAGAAACUAUUCAAACUUUACGUUUCUAUAUUUGUGUCUCCGAUUGUACCUAUAUUUUAAAGUUCACCCGCGCGUACAGGCUAUCUUUUUCCUUCCGAGUGCGUUCUCACUUCAUUGUUCGCGCAGGCAGUUAGAAUUUCAGACUUUCAGCUAUUCUUGGUGAACUGUAUCCGCCAUGUUUUACCGUAGGGAGUGAUUACGAAACCUCUUUCCCUACGUUGUCGAUGCGAGUCAACUCGAAGGCACUGCUCGAUACCGACGACCAUAGAGAAAUAACAAUAAGGUAGAGAAAUAACAAUAUUGUUUUUAUUUCUCUAUGCCGACGACCCUAUCAAGUUGCCAACUCGAACUAUCUAUCUCACUCUAAUAGAUCUCUGAUCUCCUAUAACACUUUCUCUCUUGCCGGUCAAAGUAUAACAAUUAAGAAAAGUGAAUACAUAACGACAUAACCUACCUACUUCAUACUUUGAUUUCUUCAAUUUAAAAAUAAUGUAAAUAGUUAAUAAAACGAUAUUUAGAUUAUACGAUUUUGAUAACAAUUCUCAUGUUUUGAACACUCAAAAAAUAUAUUGUUUAAAUCUCCCAGUGAGGUGUUAUUACACUCAUUACACUGACAUGAGUUCUCUAAUACUUAUUCCUAUUUUUAAAAGAUGUGAAGGAAACGUCCAUGGUUAAUUUUUAUCCUUGUAAUAUUUGCAGAGUAAGAUUUAAGGCGAAAAGGUAAGAUAAGGAAUGCUCUGAGACAGAAUUCGAUGAAGGGAAUAGGUAUAGUUAGCAGUGACCAUUAAGAAUGUUAGUAAUAUUGUUAUAUAACGUCUCCCAUCUUUCCCUGGCCAUGUAAUCUUUAAUAAUGGUAAAAAAAUCAUAAUCUCAAAUUCUACUUAAGUUCGAAAAUCAUAUAUACAUAUUUAUGUAUCUAGGUGUACGUUAUCACUGAAUCAUCCUUAGAAUAUAUAAAAUAAACGUGUAUAAUAUUAAAUAUGGGAGUGCGGCCCUGCAUGGAGAUAAGAAAAAAUGUUGUUCCUAACACGGACUCCGUAAAAUUGUUAUUUUUAAGCGAUAAAACAAUAGUACAUUGUUUACCGGGUAGGAAAAGCUUAACAUUCAUGGACGACUGUGAAGAUUGCUAAGUCGAGGCGCAAGCCGAGACUUAAAAUAAACGUGUAUAAUAUUAAAUAUGGGAGUGCGGCCCUGCAUGGAGAUAAGAAAAAAUGUUGUUCCUAACACGGACUCCGUAAAAUUGUUAUUUUUAAGCGAUAAAACAAUAGUACAUUGUUUACCGGGUAGGAAAAGCUUAACAUUCCUGGACGACUGUGAAGAUUGCUAAGUCGAGGCGCAAGCCGAGACUUAGCAACACAGAGUCCAGGAAUGUGGCUUUUCCUACGAGGUAAACAUACUAUUUUUCCGCAAAUCGUUUAAAAUUCGACAGAUAUUGAUUGAUUUAAAAAAAAACGCGAUAAUUUUAUUCCCAAAUAAAUGGUGCUUUGAAAUUCCUAAUAAAAUUACUUGGGUUACUAUGGAAACGUAUUGAGGUUGAAUUGUCAAACUUGACGCUUAUAAAUAGAACACUAACAACUGUACGGAAAUAUCAUUUCCUUACAGUAAGGAAAUGACAUUUCCUUACAGUAAGGAAGUCCUGACUUUUUCUUCAAGAAAUUUUGACAGGAAUGUCAAAAUUUCCUGGCGAUUUGCGGAAAAGUAAUAAAUUGUGAAUUUGUGCCGAAUUAUAAUCGAAACUAGAUGUAGAAGCAUUUAAUUUGUUUGUAAAAUGGCGUUAUGCUUCACUUAUAUUUACUGGAACUUUAGCCUUCGGGGGAGUAAUAAUAUCUGUUUUGGUUUUUAGAGUUGUUCAUGGUUAUAUAGCCUGCUUUCAGUCAAUGAAGAAACAAUAAAUAUGUUAUGUGUAAAUAUUUAAUACGUUGCGUUGUCUAUCUCUUAUAGAAAGAAGUAAAAUAAAAAAUUCGUUUAACAAGGAAAUGAUUAUUUUUAUAAAAUAAAAAAAUACUCCUUUAUUUUUGUUAUCCUUAUCUUUAUC